GAUGAACGCUAGCUACAGGCUUAACACAUGCAAGUCGGGGGGAAACGAUAGAGAAAGCUUGCUUUUUCUAGGCGUCGACCGGCGCACGGGUGAGUAACGCGUAUCCAACCUGCCCAUCACUUGGGGAUAACCUUGCGAAAGUAAGACUAAUACCCAAUGACGUCUCUAGAAGACAUCUGAAAGAGAUUAAAGAUUUAACGGUGAUGGAUGGGGAUGCGUCUGAUUAGCUUGUUGGCGGGGUAACGGCCCACCAAGGCUACGGUCAGUAGGGGUUCUGAGAGAAAGGUCCCCCACAUUGGAACUGAGACACGGUCCAAACUCCUACGGGAGGCAGCAGUGAGGAAUAUUGGUCAAUGGACGAGAGUCUGAACCAGCCAAGUAGCGUGCAGGAUGACGGCCCUAUGGGUUGUAAACUGCUUUUAUAAGGGAAUAAAGUGAGCCUCGUGAGGCUUUUUGCAUGUACCUUAUGAAUAAGGACCGGCUAAUUCCGUGCCAGCCGCCGCAGUAA
rnacentral:rRNA from 1 species